GAUGAAGAACGCAGCGAAAUGCGAUAAGUAAUGUGAAUUGCAGAAUUCAGUGAAUAAUCGAAUCUUUGAACGCACAUUGCGCCCGCCAGUAUUCUGGCGGGCAUGCCUGUUCGAGCGUCAUUUCAACCAUCAAGCCCUGCUUGCGUUGGGGUCCUGCGGCUGCCCGCAGGCCCUGAAAACCAGUGGCGGGCUCGCUAGUCACACCGAGCGCAGUAAUACAUCUCGCUUUGGGCGUGCGGCGGGUUCUUGCCGUUAAACACCCCCUUUUUACCAAGGUUGACCUCGGAUCAGGUAGGAAUACCCGCUGAACUUAAGCAUAUCAAUAAGCGGAGGA
rnacentral:misc_RNA from 1 species